rnacentral:misc_RNA from 1 species
CGCACAUUGCGCCCUUUGGUAUUCCGAAGGGCAUGCCUGUUCGAGCGUCAUUUAAACAAUCAAGCCCUGCUUGGUAUUGGACCCGGUCCUAGGACCCGUCCGGAACUCAGUGGCGGUGCCGUCCGACCCUAAGCGUAGCAAAAUCACCCGCUUCAGGUGCUCGUGGCGACCCAGCCAGGUAACCACCAUACCUAAAGUUUGACCUCGGAUCAGGUAGGGAUACCCGCUGAACUUAA